CGACCUUUGGAAUACUAGCCCAAUGUUCUUCCAAGGAAGAGCAUUGGGCUAGUAUUCCAAAGGUCG